GGUGUUCAAUUUAGGUAUAUGAAUAUACCACAGUGAUCUACUCGACGUCACGGACGUCGACAUAUUUUUAAAUAAUUUUAUUUUUAUUUUUUUUUUUACUGUAGCACCUUCUUCUUCCUUGGGUCGCCGGACUGGUUUUUCCGGCGGCCGUUUUCCGGGCAGUUUUUCAAAUUGCCAUAACUUUGUCAUUUCUCAACGAAAUCAAGUGAUUCAAAAACGAAAGUUGUAGCCCUUGAAGAGACAAAGAGAAUGGUACCUUGCACAACACCUAGUUCACUGUGUUUUGGCCGGAAACUGCCUCGAAAGCCUCGGAGGUCGCCGGAAACUGGGUAUUUUUCAAAUGAGUAUAACUUCUUCAAUACUCAACGAAAUUGAGUGAAACAAAAAGGAAAGUUGUAGUCCUUGACGAGACGAAGAGAUUGAUACCUACCUCGACUCCUAACUCGCCGGGGAUUCGCCGGAAAACGCCUCGAAAGCUCCGGCCAAACUUUGAACUUGUCGAUCUCCGUGUUCUUACGUCCAAAAACUUCCAACGAAGCACUCCGAGCUUCCUUGGGACCUUACUAAACUCGCUGUGAUCUUGUUUUAGCCUAAAACGUAACCAAUUCAAAGCUCAUGAACAGUGUCAUCUCACGGCAACUUUAGAACUAGGGUUUCGAAGUGAAACUCACCUGAAAUUGGUAUCCCGUGCUCGUGAAGUCCCCAGGAUCACGAUGGUGGUCUUAAAUGGAACGUUGGUACAAGAUUGUGGUGGUUCUGGUGGUUGCCGUGAGUUCGAGAGUAAGAGAGAGAAUGAGAGAGUUUUCAGAAAAGAAUAAGAGAGAGAGAGAGUCUGGAAUGAAAGAAGAAGAGAGAAGAAAGGUUACGGGUUUUAGGGAGGGAAUUCAGGGUAGGAGGCCCUACCUAAGUCCAAGCACAAAUUAACACAUACAAAUAUAAAUCUAACCCUAGUUUAGGAUCUUAAAGUAAAACAAAUGUCAUACAUUUACACACCUUAAUCCCGUUUAAGGUCACAUUGGUCAUCUCACG
rnacentral:lncRNA from 1 species